rnacentral:rRNA from 1 species
GAUCCUGGCUCAGGAUGAACGCUAGCUACAGGCUUAACACAUGCAAGUCGAGGGGCAGCAUGGAAGAAGCUUGCUUCUUCUGAUGGCGACCGGCGCACGGGUGCGUAACGCGUAUCAAACCUGCCUCAUACUCGGGGAUAGCCUUGCGAAAGUAAGAUUAAUACCCGAUGUUGUUAUGUUUCCGCAUGGUGAUAUAACCAAAGAUUUAUCGGUAUGAGAUGGUGAUGCGUCCGAUUAGGUAGUAGGCGGGGUAACGGCCCACCUAGCCAUCGAUCGGUAGGGGUUCUGAGAGGAAGGUCCCCCACACUGGAACUGAGACACGGUCCAGACUCCUACGGGAGGCAGCAGUGAGGAAUAUUGGUCAAUGGACGGAAGUCUGAACCAGCCAAGUAGCGUGCAGGAUGACGGCCCUAUGGGUUGUAAACUGCUUUUAUGCGGGGAUAAAGUGAGGGACGUGUCCCUGAUUGCAGGUACCGCAUGAAUAAGGACCGGCUAAUUCCGUGCCAGCAGCCGCGGUAAUACGGAAGGUCCAGGCGUUAUCCGGAUUUAUUGGGUUUAAAGGGAGCGUAGGCGGAUUAUUAAGUCAGUGGUGAAAGACGGUGGCUCAACCAUCGUUAGCCAUUGAAACUGGUAGUCUUGAGUGCAGACAGGGAUGCUGGAACUCGUGGUGUAGCGGUGAAAUGCUUAGAUAUCACGAUGAACUCCGAUCGCGAAGGCAGGUGUCCGGGCUGCAACUGACGCUGAGGCUCGAAAGUGUGGGUAUCAAACAGGAUUAGAUACCCUGGUAGUCCACACAGUAAACGAUGUAUACUCGCGGUUUGCGAUACAAUGUAAGCCGCCAAGCGAAAGCAUUAAGUAUACCACCUGGGGAGUACGCCGGCAACGGUGAAACUCAAAGGAAUUGACGGGGGCCCG